rnacentral:rRNA from 1 species
CCUACGGGUGGCAGCAGUGAGGAAUAUUGGUCAAUGGACGCAACUCUGAACCAGCCAUGCCGCGUGCAGGAAGACGGCUCUAUGAGUUGUAAACUGCUUUUGUACGGGGGUAAACGCAGAUACGUGUAUCUGUCUGAAAGUAUCGUACGAAUAAGGAUCCGCUAACACCGUGCCAGCAGCCGCGGUAAUACGGAGGAUGCAAGCGUUAUCCGGAUUUAGUGGGUUUAAAGGGUGCGUAGGCGGUCGGAUAAGUUAGAGGUGAAAUCCCGAGGCUCAACUUCGGAAUUGACUCUGAUACUGUUCGGCUAGAGAGCAGUUGCGGUAGGCGGAAUGUAUGGUGUAGCGGUGAAAUGCUUAGAGAUCAUACAGAACACCGAUUGCGAAGGCAGCUUACCAAGCUACUUCUGACGUUGAGGCACGAAAGCGUGGGGAGCAAACAGGAUUAGAUACCCUUGUAGUC